GACGAACGCUGGCGGCGUGCUUAACACAUGCAAGUCGAACGAUGAAGCUGGAGCUUGCUCUGGUGGAUUAGUGGCGAACGGGUGAGUAACACGUGAGUAACCUGCCCUGGACUCUGGGAUAACCCCGAGAAAUCGGAGCUAAUACCGGAUAGGACCUCGGAUCGCAUGAUCUGGGGUGGAAAGUUUUUCGGUCUGGGAUGGACUCGCGGCCUAUCAGCUUGUUGGUGAGGUAAUGGCUCACCAAGGCGUCGACGGGUAGCCGGCCUGAGAGGGUGACCGGCCACACUGGGACUGAGACACGGCCCAGACUCCUACGGGAGGCAGCAGUGGGGAAUAUUGCACAAUGGGCGCAAGCCUGAUGCAGCAACACCGCGUGCGGGAUGACGGCCUUCGGGUUGUAAACCGCUUUUAGUAAGGAAGAAGCCGCAAGGUGACGGUACUUGCAGAAAAAGGACCGGCUAACUACGUGCCAGCCGCCGCUGUAAAAC
rnacentral:rRNA from 1 species